GGCAUGGGCGCAGCUACACAUGCAAGUCGGACGGUAGCACAGGGGAGCUUGCUCCCCGGGUGACGAGUGGCGGACGGGUGAGUAAUGUCUGGGAAACUGCCCGAUGGAGGGGGAUAACUACUGGAAACGGUAGCUAAUACCGCAUAACGUCGCAAGACCAAAGUGGGGGACCUUCGGGCCUCACACCAUCGGAUGUGCCCAGAUGGGAUUAGCUAGUAGGUGGGGUAAUGGCUCACCUAGGCGACGAUCCCUAGCUGGUCUGAGAGGAUGACCAGCCACACUGGAACUGAGACACGGUCCAGACUCCUACGGGAGGCAGCAGUGGGGAAUAUUGCACAAUGGGCGCAAGCCUGAUGCAGCCAUGCCGCGUGUAUGAAGAAGGCCUUCGGGUUGUAAAGUACUUUCAGCGGGGAGGAAGGCGGUGAAGUUAAUAGCUUCGCCGAUUGACGUUACCCGCAGAAGAAGCACCGGCUAACUCCGUGCCAGCAGCCGCGGUAAUACGGAGGGUGCAAGCGUUAAUCGGAAUUACUGGGCGUAAAGCGCACGCAGGCGGUCUGUCAAGUCGGAUGUGAAAUCCCCGGGCUUAACCUGGGAACUGCAUUCGAAACUGGCAGGCUAGAGUCUUGUAGAGGGGGGUAGAAUUCCAGGUGUAGCGGUGAAAUGCGUAGAGAUCUGGAGGAAUACCGGUGGCGAAGGCGGCCCCCUGGACAAAGACUGACGCUCAGGUGCGAAAGCGUGGGGAGCAAACAGGAUUAGAUACCCUGGUAGUCCACGCCGUAAACGAUGUCGACUUGGAGGUUGUUCCCUUGAGGAGUGGCUUCCGGAGCUAACGCGUUAAGUCGACCGCCUGGGGAGUACGGCCGCAAGGUUAAAACUCAAAUGAAUUGACGGGGGCCCGCACAAGCGGUGGAGCAUGUGGUUUAAUUCGAUGCAACGCGAAGAACCUUACCUACUCUUGAACAUCCAGAGACUUAGCAGAGAUGCUUUGGUGCCUUCGGGAACUCUGAGAACAGGUGCUGCAUGGCUGUCGUCAGCUCGUGUUGGUGAAUUGUUGGGUAAGUCCCGCAACGAGCGCAACCCUUAUCCUUUGUGCCAGGCGGUAUGCCGGAACUUCAAGGAGAACUUGCCAGUGAUAACUGGAGGAAGGUGGAUGACGUCAAGUCAUCAUGCCUUUACGGAUAGCUACCACGUGCUACAAUGCGCAACAAAGGAGAGGGUAACUUCGGGGAGAGAGAUCAUAAGUGGGC
rnacentral:rRNA from 1 species